GCUCAGUAACGCGUAGUCAACCUAACCUAUGGACGGGAAUAACCUCGGGAAACUGAGUAUAAUGCCCGAUAGAACACUAUACCUGGAAUGGUUUGUGUUCCAAAUGAUUUAUCGCCGUAGGAUGGGACUGCGGCCUAUCAGUUUGUUGGUGAGGUAAUGGCCCACCAAGACUAUUACAGGUACGGGCUCUGAGAGGAGUAGCCCGGAGAUGGGUACUGAGACACGGACCCAGGCCCUAUGGGGCGCAGCAGGCGAGAAAACUUUGCAAUGUGCGAAAGCACGACAAGGUUAAUCCGAGUGGUUUCUGCUAAAGAAACCUUUUGUUAGUCAUAGAACCACUAAUGAAUAAGGGGUGGGCAAGUUCUGGUGUCAGCCGCCGCGGUAAAACCAGCACCUCAAGUGGUCAGGAUGAUUAUUGGGCCUAAAGCAUCCGUAGCCGGCUCUGUAAGUUUUCGGUUAAAUCUGUACGCUCAACGUACAGGCUGCCGGGAAUACUGCAGAGCUAGGGAGUGGGAGAGGUAGACGGUACUCGGUAGGAAGGGGUAAAAUCCUUUGAUCUAUUGAUGACCACCUGUGGCGAAGGCGGUCUACCAGAACACGUCCGACGGUGAGGGAUGAAAGCUGGGGGAGCAAACCGGAUUAGAUACCCGGGUAGUCCCAGCUGUAAACUAUGCAAACUCAGUGAUGCAUUGGCUUGUGGCCAAUGCAGUGCUGCAGGGAAGCCGUUAAGUUUGCCGCCUGGGAAGUACGUACGCAAGUAUGAAACUUAAAGGAAUUGGCGGGGGAGCACCACAAGGGGUGAAGCCUGCGGUUCAAUUGGAGUCAACGCCGGG
rnacentral:rRNA from 1 species